CAGCAGCCGCGGGAAUACGAAGGGGGCUAGCGUUGUUCGGAAUUACUGGGCGUAAAGCGUACGUAGGCGGCUUUGUAAGUUAGAGGUGAAAGCCUGGUGCUCAACACCAGAACUGCCUUUAAGACUGCAUCGCUUGAACGUCGGAGAGGUGAGUGGAAUUCCGAGUGUAGAGGUGAAAUUCGUAGAUAUUCGGAAGAACACCAGUGGCGAAGGCGGCUCACUGGACGACUGUUGACGCUGAGGUACGAAAGCGUGGGGAGCAAACAGGAUUAGAUACCCCGGUAGUCCCUGUCUCUUAUAC
rnacentral:rRNA from 1 species